AUUACACCAAAUUCAGAUUGGGUUUUUUCAUUCUUCAUUCUUUCCUCUCCUCCCUCCCAUUUCGUUUCAUACUCAGCCAGCCGCCAGCCACCAGCCACCGAUUCCAAACCUCUCUCUCAACCAGCACGUCACAGUCACACCCCACUCUGCCGCCGCUCUUCUCUUAGCCUCUCUCAGUCGUUGCAGGUCAGAUUCUCUCUCUAUCUCUCUCCUUUUUUUUUUCUUUCCCCAAUUCAAUUUUCUGACUCUCUCUGUCUUCCAGCAAAUCGGAGAUCCCAUUUGCUCGCAGCGUCCACCUCUUCAUCUCGUAUAGCUCUCUGUCUCUGUCUCUCUCUCAGGUAUUGUUCAUCUCUCUCUCACAGCUCAUCUUCGAUUCUGCGAAAAUUGGAUAGGUCUUAUAUUUUCUAGGGUGCAAUAAUCUAAUGUGAUGUGGGUUUUGGAAUGACAGACAGACAAAGCUUCAAUGCUGGAUGAGAUCAUCGAUUAUGUCAAAUUCCUCCAGCUCCAAGUCAAGGUUCUGAGCAUGAGCAGGUUGGGCGGUGCAGCUGCUGUUGCUCCUCUUGUUGCU